CAAUGGGGGGAACCCUGAUCCAGCCAUGCCGCGUGUGUGAAGAAGGCCUUUUGGUUGUAAAGCACUUUAAGCGAGGAGGAGGCUUACCUGGUUAAUACCUGGGAUAAGUGGACGUUACUCGCAGAAUAAGCACCGGCUAACUCUGUGCCAGCAGCCGCGGUAAUACAGAGGGUGCGAGCGUUAAUCGGAUUUACUGGGCGUAAAGCGUGCGUAGGCGGCUUUUUAAGUCGGAUGUGAAAUCCCCGAGCUUAACUUGGGAAUUGCAUUCGAUACUGGGAAGCUAGAGUAUGGGAGAGGAUGGUAGAAUUCCAGGUGUAGCGGUGAAAUGCGUAGAGAUCUGGAGGAAUACCGAUGGCGAAGGCAGCCAUCUGGCCUAAUACUGACGCUGAGGUACGAAAGCAUGGGGAGCAAACAGGAUUAGAUACCCUGGUAGUCCAUGCCGUAAACGAUGCCUACUAGCCGUUGGGGCCUUUGAGGCUUUAGUGGCGCAGCUAACGCGAUAAGUAGACCGCCUGGGGAG
rnacentral:rRNA from 1 species